rnacentral:rRNA from 1 species
GACGAACGCUGGCGGCGUGCUUAACACAUGCAAGUCGAACGAAGUGGCGAACGGGUGAGUAACGCGUAAUCAACCUGCCCUUCAGAGGGGGACAACAGUUGGAAACGACUGCUAAUACCGCAUACUGAAGGAGGGGAUUGAGUCUGAGUAGCUAGUUGGAGGGGGAACGGCCCACCAAGGCGAUGAUCAGGAGCCGGUUUGAAAGGAUGAACGGCCACAUUGGGACGGAGACACGGCCCAGAAUCCUACGGGAGGCAGCAGGGGGGAAUCGUCCGCAAUGGACGAAAGUCUGACGGAGCAACGCCGCGUGAGUGAUGACGGCCUUCGGGUUGUAAAGCUCUGUUAAUCGGGACGCGGUACCGGAAUAGAAAGCCACGGCUAACUACGUGCCAGCAGCCGCGGUAAUUC